AUAGGGCUGGGGGAGAAGGAGGAGUUCUGCCUACACAUUUAUUCCCCACUACACCAUCCCCCAUUUUAAUGGAAAGGACUUCAACAGCCCUCCCACAUGGCCUGUAAUUUUCAAGGAGAAGAAAUCCAAAGACCUUAGAGGAUGAACGUUAAGUACUCAGUGAUUCCAGAGGCAGUAAAUUGAAGCCAGGAGAGGCAGUAUUUCUCAGUUGGAUGAAAAAUAUUGGAUUGCCAGUACCUCAGCCUGUCAUUUGUAAUUUUAUACAAAUCUUCGUGCUUUUUCCCAACACUGUAAUUAGUAAUUCAUGAAGUUUUUGUACCAUGUCUACCUUCUCAUCAAAAUAUAGGCCCCAUUAGAAAAGAA